GAUGAACGCUGGCGGCGUGCCUAAUACAUGCAAGUCGAGCGAACAGACGAGGAGCUUGCUCCUCUGACGUUAGCGGCGGACGGGUGAGUAACACGUGGAUAACCUACCUAUAAGACUGGGAUAACUUCGGGAAACCGGAGCUAAUACCGGAUAAUAUAUUGAACCGCAUGGUUCAAUAGUGAAAGACGGUUUUGCUGUCACUUAUAGAUGGAUCCGCGCCGCAUUAGCUAGUUGGUAAGGUAACGGCUUACCAGGGCAACGAUGCGUAGCCGACCUGAGAGGGUGAUCGGCCACACUGGAGCGGAGACACGGUCCAUACUCCUACGGGAGGCAGCAGUAGGGAAUCUUCCGCAAUGGUCGAAAGCUUGACGGAGCAACGCCGCGUGAGUGAUGAAGGUCUUCGGAUCGCAAAACUCUGUUAUUAGGGAAGAACAAAUGUGUAAGUAACUAUGCACGUCUUGACGGUACCUAAUCAGAAAGCCACGGCUAACUACGUG
rnacentral:rRNA from 1 species